rnacentral:piRNA from 1 species
ACCUCUGAAUGAAAGAUUCCAUU